UGGGGAAUUUUGGACAAUGGGCGAAAGCCUGAUCCAGCAAUGCCGCGUGUGUGAAGAAGGCCUUCGGGUUGUAAAGCACUUUUGUCCGGAAAGAAAUCCUUGGCUCUAAUACAGUCGGGGGAUGACGGUACCGGAAGAAUAAGCACCGGCUAACUACGUGCCAGCAGCCGCGGUAAUACGUAGGGUGCAAGCGUUAAUCGGAAUUACUGGGCGUAAAGCGUGCGCAGGCGGUUUGCUAAGACCGAUGUGAAAUCCCCGGGCUCAACCUGGGAACUGCAUUGGUGACUGGCAGGCUAGAGUAUGGCAGAGGGGGGUAGAAUUCCACGUGUAGCAGUGAAAUGCGUAGAGAUGUGGAGGAAUACCGAUGGCGAAGGCAGCCCCCUGGCAAGUACUGACGCUCAUGCACGAAAGCGUGGGGAGCAAACAGGAUUAGAUACCCUGGUAGUCCACGCCCUAAACGAUGUCAACUAGUUGUUGGGGAUUCAUUUCCUUAGUAACGUAGCUAACGCGUGAAGUUGACCGCCUGGGGAGUACGGUCGCAAGAUUAAAACUCAAAUGAAUUGACGGGGUCAUAGCUGUUUCCU
rnacentral:rRNA from 1 species